UACAGAGGUCCCAAGCGUUGUUCGGAUUCAUUGGGCGUAAAGGGUGCGUAGGUGGCGCCGUAGUGGAUGGUGAAUUACGUAGCGUAACUCCGAAACUGCAUUCGAUACUGCGGUGCUUGAGGACUGGAGAGGAGACUGGAAUUCAUGGUGUAGCAGUGAAAUGCGUAGAGAUCAUGAGGAAGACCAGUGGCGAAGGCGGGUCUCUGGACAGUUCCUGACACUGAGACACGAAGGCCAGGGGAGCAAACGGG
rnacentral:rRNA from 1 species